CUCCAGUCACUUUCUCUUUCUAUUUUUUAAAUAAUUUAUUUGUUAAAUAUAUAUUAUGUAGUUAUAAAUUAUUUAUAGAUGAAUAUUAUAUUUUGAAAAUAAUAUAUCAAUUUAUCUGAUGAUAUAUAUUAGAUUACUAAAUAACUAAAUUGAUAAGGAUACAUCAUAUGACUACAAACUAUGUACUAAUGAAUAUCAUAUUUUAAAAGCUACUUAUCAAUUUAUUUAUAAAGAUGUAUUAAAUUAUUGAAUAAUUAAUUUAUUAGAUAUGUAUUAUUUGAUCAUAUAUUAUAUAUUGAUAAAUAUUAUAUUUUAAAAAUUAUUUGUUAAUUUAUGAAAAAGAAAGGGACUCUGGAAGGGAGAGAGAAGUCUCAUGGAUGGAUGGAGAGGAACAGAAGAAGAGCCAUGGAAUGGAUGGCCUCGUGAACCACUUCAUGAGAAGAAAGAGCCAUGGGAUAGACGGUGUGAGGAUGAUUUACAUUUUUUUAAAAAAAAAAUUUAAGAAGUAAUGGUAGGAGAACUCCUCCUGCCGUACCUGAACCUCAUCAGUACCGUGGGAUACGUCAAUUCCCAAGUGAUCUGAUUUAGUGCAUGCACC
rnacentral:lncRNA from 1 species